rnacentral:misc_RNA from 1 species
GAAAUGCGAUAAGUAAUGUGAACUGCAGAAUUCAGUGAAUCAUCGAAUCUUUGAACGCACCUUGCGCUCCUUGGUAUUCCUUGGAGCAUGCCUGUUUGAGUAUCAUGAAAUCUUCAAAGUAAAUCUUUUGUUAACUCAAUUGGUUUCCACUUUGGUAUUGGAGGUCUUUGCAGCUUCACACCUGCUCCUCUUUGUUCAUUAGCUGGAUCUCAGUGUUAUGCUUGGUUCCACUCGGCGUGAUAAGUUAUCUAUCGCUGAGGACACUGUAAAAGGUGGCCAAGGUAAAUGCAGAUGAACCGCUUCUAAUAGUCCAUUGACUUGGACAAUACUUUUAUGAUCUGAUCUCAAAUCAGGUAGGACUACCCGCUGAACUUAAGC